rnacentral:rRNA from 1 species
CAUAGUUCACCACCCCUGGAACGGUGGGUGGAUGAAAGCUCCGGCGGCAUAGGAUGGGCCUGCGACGUAUCAGGUUGUAGGGGGUGUAACGUACCCUCUAGCCAUCAACGCGUACGGGUGUUGGGAGACAUAGCCCGGAGAUGGAUUCUGAGACACGAAUCCAGACCCUACGGGGUGCAGCAGGCGCGAAAACUUGGCAAUGCGAGCAAUCGUGACCAGGGAACUCCAAGUGGCUGGGGUAAUACCCAGUUUUUUCUUGACUCUUCAAAGGUCUUGGAAUAAGGGGUGGGUAAGGACGGUGCCAGCCGCCGCGGUAAUACCGGCGCCUCAAGUGGUAGUCGCUUUUAUUGGGCCUAAAACGUCCGUAGCCGGUCUGGUGCAUUCGUGGGUAAAUCAACCCGCUCAACGGGUUGAAUUCUGCGAGCACGGCCAGACUUGGGACCGGGAGAGGUGUGGGGUACUCUCAGGGUAGGGGUAAAAUCCUGUCAUCCUGAGAGGACCACCUGUUGCGAAGGCGCCACACUAGAACGGAUUCGACGGUCAGGGACGAAACCUAGGGGCACGAACCGGAUUAGAUACCCGGGUAGUCCUAGGUGUAAACGCUGUGGACUUGAUGUUGGGGGUGCUCCGAGCACUCUCAGUGUCGAAGCGAAGGUGAUAAGUCCACUGCCUGGGGAGUACGGUCGCAAGGCUGAAACUUAAAGGAAUUGGCGGGGGAGCACUGCAACCUGAGGAUUGUGCGGUUUAAUUGGACUCAACGCCGGAA